AUCACUUCUGGGCCUUUCGAGCAGGAUCAAAGUGUCUUAUCUGUUCUUGUCAGUUUGAUAUCUGGUAUGUCCUGUAGUUUUUUGGAUCAAGGAGAUGGAAUAGUUUUCUCCAUCCACUUCAGUCAUAUUGUAGAACCUCACAGAAUGAUGCACAA
rnacentral:snRNA from 1 species